rnacentral:rRNA from 1 species
UACGUAGGUGGCAAGCGUUGUCCGGAAUCACUGGGCGUAAAGCGCGCGCAGGCGGCGAUCUACGUCUGGGGGUGAAAGCCCGGAGCUCAACUCCGGGACUGCCUUGGAUACGGGAUCGCUUGAGGAUUGGAGAGGCAAGGGGAAUUCCACGUGUAGCGGUGAAAUGCGUAGAGAUGUGGAGGAACACCUGUGGCGAAGGCGCCUUGCUGGCCAAUUACUGACGCUGAGGCACGGAAGCGUGGGGGAUCAAACAGG